rnacentral:lncRNA from 1 species
GGAUGAAUUUUGAUAAGUUUUGAACUUUAAAUACAUGAAAAACUGGAUUAAAAUAUGAUGGGACGACCCACCUGGGUCAUCCCCUUCUGUUAGGCAGCCGGCACACAGCAUUUUGGGUCAUGGCAUGCUGUGGGAUGACCCAUCUGAGAUGCCCCAUGUAAUUAGGACGUCCCAUGGGAUGCCCUCUUGAUACCUAAGACUAAAACAGAAAGCAGGACUUUCUGUCUAGCCAAUUGGGAUGCCCCAUGGGAUGCCCCAUGGGACACCUCAUUUCAGCGAGCAUGUGUAACGAUUAGUUUUCAGCCCAUUUUUUGAUGUAUUUAAUGCACAUUAAACACUCUCCAAUGGCUCUAAACCAACUUUAAGACAUUAUCAAAGGUGAAUGGCAACUAUAAAUACUCUAUUCAAAUGGAAAAUCAGAAGAUUUUUGCAAGCUUAAAGAUUAAAUAUGAGAAAAAUUAUUUUCAACCCUAAGAGAGAGAUUGAAGCAUUUAAGCACCUCACCAACCACUCUUCAGCAGC